GAUGAACGCUAGCUACAGGCUUAACACAUGCAAGUCGAGGGGAAACGCUGAGAGAGCUUGCUCUCUUAGGCGUCGACCGGCGCACGGGUGAGUAACGCGUAUCCAACCUACCCAUUACAGGGGGAUAACCUUGCGAAAGUAAGACUAAUACCCCAUGGCAUUUUAUGGUGGCAUCAUUAUAGGAUUAAAGAUUUAUUGGUAAUGGAUGGGGAUGCGUCUGAUUAGCUUGUUGGCGGGGUAACGGCCCACCAAGGCAACGAUCAGUAGGGGUUCUGAGAGGAAGGUCCCCCACAUUGGAACUGAGACACGGGCCAAACUCCUACGGGAGGCAGCAGUGAGGAAUAUUGGUCAAUGGGCGAGAGCUUGAACCAGCCAAGUAGCGUGCAGGAUGACGGCCCUAUGGGUUGUAAACUGCUUUUAUAGGGGAAUAAAGUGAGCUACGUGUAGUUUAUUGCAUGUACCCGAUGAAUAAGGACCGGCUAAUUCCGUG
rnacentral:rRNA from 1 species